AAAGAUUAAGCCAUGCAUGUCUAAGUAUACGCAAAUUAUACUGUGAAACUGCGAAUGGCUCAUUAAAUCAGUUAUAGUUUAUUUGAUGUUUCUUGCUACAUGGAUAACUGUGGUAAUUCUAGAGCUAAUACAUGCGCAGAAAGCCCCGACUUCGGAAGGGGUGUAUUUAUUAGAUAAGAACCAUCCUCCUCGGAGUUUGGUGAUUCAUAAUAACUUCUCGAAUCGCACGGCCUUGUGCUGGCGAUGCUUCAUUCAAAUAUCUGCCCCAUCAACUGUCGAUGGUAGGAUAGAGGCCUACCAUGGUUG
rnacentral:rRNA from 2 species